rnacentral:lncRNA from 1 species
AUUUCUCCGCGGCAUGAGCUCAGAAACUGCGACAGAAUUCGCUUUCAAGUCAUUGUCAGAGCUUAUCAGUCGGUGCCUGGUUGAAGUAGCUCAGCGAAGAAACUUUGAUGGCAGUUUUUAUACCUGCAAGGUGCAUGACAUGGUCCGAGAUUUGACAAUUAAAAUAGCAAAAGAAGAAGAUUUCUGCAGCUUCGAUGCAAAUGGAAAACAUAUUGCUGACGUCUGCUCCCGUCGACUUGGAGUCACACAAGAGACAAAGUUAUCUGCCCUUCGAGGAAACUCAAAGCUCAGGGCAUUACUUCUAACCACAACCCAUUAUAUCAGUUUCAAUAGGAAUACAGAGUUGGCAAAAAUCAAGUCUCUCAGGGUACUGGACCUCUCACAUGCCAGACUAGACUAUGUUUUUGUGAAGGAUCUUUGGAACUGGAUCACUUCCCUUAAACGCCUAGCUUGUUUGAGCCUCAGAGAUGUUGCACAAUUGCUUGAAGUCCCAAACUCAAUCGGCAAAUUAUUGGGCCUCCAAGUGCUGAUUCUGGGAGAAUGUAAAUAUCUUAAAAAGCUUCCCACUUCAAUUGUAAAACUUCCAAGAUUAAUCAUCUUGGAUGUUGGCAAUUGCCCAAGUCUUCGGUGUUUACCACAAGGGUUCUCGAGACUUUCUAAUCUCCAGAAGCUGUAUGGAUUUAAGAUAGCUGGUCCUGGAAAUGCUGCCGGUUCCCACCUUGCAGAGCUGAAGGCUCUGACUGAACUUCGUGUCCUGCAGAUAGACUUAACUGAAGAUAGCACUAUUGAGGAUCGGGAAUUGGAUGCGUUGGAACUGCUGGAGAAACUAAAGCUUUUGUCCAUUAAUGCAGGUGAUUGCAAAGAUAAGAACAUUUUAAGCAAGAUGAAUAAAUUGUCACCCCCUUCUUCCAUCGAGGAAUUGUAUCUGAAGCAUUAUCUUGGAGAAACUACGCCAGCAUGGAUUAAUCCCAGGUCACUUCAACAACUGCAGUAUCUUUCUGUGGAGAACUCAGGAAUAGAAAAGAUGAACCAAGAAUUUUGGGGAGAUGAAGAAUAUAAAUGGGAUGUCAAAGGGUUGUGUUUAAAGUUCUGCCAAAGACUUGAGGUGUCAUGGGAAGAAUUGCAAGCAGUGAUGCCUCAGAUCAGACACCUGGAGGUUAGCCAGUGUAAUUUACUGGCUUCAUUUCCUUGUGAUGUUGAGGCUGUUGGGUUCUGGCACAAGGACACUAAGGAAAAAAAUGUGUCAGAGAAUGUAUUCAGUCAAGAAGAUUGAAAGCAGCUAGACGACAUGGUGUCAAGAGGUUAGUCAGUGUAAUUUGGUGGUUUCAUUUAAGAUUGAAAGCAGCUAGAUGACAUGGUCCGAUCUUGGGAAAGCAUUAUCAAAGUUUGACGUGAUCUGUAUCCCGGUUCUUGGACAAUAUGUUGUGGCAUUUGUUAGUGAUGUGAAGUGUAUUUGUAUAUGCUGAACUUUACUAAUUUACUCAUUGUUACUUUUUUCUCUUCCAUGUUGAUCAUGUAAGCCUAAUUUGGAGUUGGUGCUUUCAAAAUAUGAUUUUUCCUUUCUAUGAUGGUGUGCUUUUAAUCAUUACUAUACUAAGUGGCGAUAGAAAUAAACUAAAAGAUGGCCCAUCUCAUUGAUUUUAGAAUUGCACGUUUUGGAAAGAAACAGAAAUAUAUUUUGGUCUAUGACAAGGCUCCAAGUCUUACAAGGAGGAGGGGAAAGGGGAGAGCUUGAGAGUGAACAUCAUUCUCACCUGACUAAUAUCUCAUCAGUAAAACUCUGGAUCUUAGGGACCAAAAAAAAAAAAAAAAAAAAAAAUCCUUUACUGCUUUUCUAGGUAUUACUUCUAUUUUUCACGUCUGGGUGCCUGGGCUGAAUUUGGAGUUUAUACUCGAGUAGUUACAAGCCUUUCAAUUUGGAAAGCCAAAUACAAUUUAAAAGCCCAUGAAGGGUGCAUCAAUUGUGAUCAAUUUCUACUCCCCCCGCCGGGCACAAUUAACAAUACAGCAGGACACACACAACCUGCAGUGAACUACAAGAUUCAUUCUGCUGCUAAAAUCCCAGAUAAAAGCACAUUGAAAAGCAAGAAUUUUCUACUAGUUUUCUCUUCAUUUGUCUCGGGAAAUGAGAAAUUCUUCUUGCUCACAUUGGUGGCAUUCCCCCUUCCACUUGUGCGUGUCUGUGGUUCUUGCAAUUGUGGCAAUCAUUGUAAACCUGAAUGCAGACACCAGCAACAAUUCAUCUCCGUUGAUCCAAGCCUCCAAAAGAGGCCUCUCAUUGAAUGCUUCCAAAGCUCCAAGAGCUCAUUGUUUCAAUGUCAUGGCCACCCUUCUCCAAAUCUCCACUGAGCUCUUUUUUUCCCCCUGAAUCCACCAUUUUUACAAUCCAAGAUUCCUCCAUUUCCAACAUUUCAGGCCAUCUACCUCCUUGGGCAAUGAAGCAAGUCCUCCAGUGCCACUCUUCUCCUGUAAAACUUCCCAUACAAGAAUUAUUCAAGAAACCCGAAGACAGUUGCUUGAGUACUCUACUUCACGAUAAGAUCAUCAAGGUUACAAAGAAGGAUGAAGAAAAGCAUGAAAUUGAGGUCAAUGAUGUGAUGAUUUCUCAUCCUGAUGUGUUUCCUGGAGUCCUCUUUUCAGUGCAUGGUGUUCUCGGAUCAUUCUCAUCAUUAGACCUUCGUGAACAUAUUGAUCAAGAUUGGAACUUUAUUCACUCCCCCACUUGUGGAAAUUUUGAUCAGAGUCAUCGUUUGAACGGUACUAAUGAGAUGAAGCACUCUGUUCGAUGGCCAAGUAUAAUCCAGUUUCUCAGUGCUAACGGAUUUGUCCAUUUUGCGAAAGGAUUGCAGUCUGUUGUUGAUGGGGUUGUUCAAGAGUAUGCUGAUUUGAGUUCUGUCACCAUCUUAGCUCCACCAUAUUUCACGUUCAUAGCACUGUCAGCACUACUGCUAGAUAGAGUUGUAAGGUUACAUGUAUUGCCGCAGAGGUUUACAUAAAAAGAAUUGGCCUUAUUGCCUGAAAAACCACCUCUCAAAACUCUGUUAUCUGACGAAAGUCUUGAAGUUACUAUGAACAAUUCUUCAAGAUCACUGGCAAUUGAUGGGGUAGAGAUCACAGAAGCUGGGAUUUUCUCAUCCAGAGAAGUUGUGAUCCACGGAAUCUCUAGAGCUCUUGGUAUGGAGAAGAUUUCUGAUACAUCAAGAUAGCUUUUGGGAAAUUUUCCAGGAUCAUAGCAUUCAAAAGUUGCAACUUUUGCUUUUACAGAAUGAUUUCGUACUUGUUUAACAUUAGUGCUAUUACUUUUCUUUUUUCUGUAGCAAGCCUUUUCUUUCUUUCUUUCUUUCUUUCUUUUUUUGGCUUGAACCAGGACUCAGAAGUUUGUGUAUUUUGCAUUCCUAUCUGUGCCAAUUGCUGUUUCCUCUCACAGAUUACCUGCUUAACUUUUGCUAGAUUAGAUAUUUAGCAAAUUCCUACGGUAUCAACAGAUGAAGAAGGUCUACUUGAAAAGUGGGAAAAAGAUGCUUUGAAGUCUUAUUGCAGUUCCCCUUUGGUCCUAGAUUUUUAGCAAGCACCCAAAUAAGUUCGUGAAGAGCUAGAAUUGACCAAUGCGGAAUCUUGAAAUGAUGAUUUUAUGAACCCUUAGCCUAAUCCGAAAUGCUAUAUAGUAGAAGACAGGUGUUCCCAGUGUAAAGGAAUGGAUCAAUCCUCUGUGCUAUUGAGCACUUUUUGUAUAGAAAUGAGGGGCCAUUGCUCCAAGUGUAAAAAGUUCAGUUGAUGAUCAAUUUAUUACUAAUAUAGUUUUGAAAAAAAAAAAAAAAAAGAAGACAGAUGUUCCCAUUUUUGAGUAUGAAGCUUUCUGAACAAGACUAGAAUCUAGGAGUUUUUUUUUACCAAAUAUAAGGAAGCAAUUGCUUGGAUUUGGAGAGAUAAGUUAAGAAUAUCAUAAGUUGGUUUUAUGCCGAUAACUUAGCAAAGAUGAUUAUAAACUCUCACUUGUCCUAUCUGAAGUGCUAAGUUGUUUCGUUAUCAUGUAGCACACCUGGAGCAGAAUACAGUCGACCAUAUAUUACAUUGCCUUAAUAGUCCAAAAGUUCUCAUUUCAUAAUUGUACAAGUACAGCUUUGCUUUUGCACGUAAUAAUUGAAGGCUACACAGCUCUUGUCAUUUUCUUGUUCCUCUCACGAAAAUUCCAGGAUAGACUUGCACCAUGGAAAGCAAGGGACUAGUGAUAGUGGAAGACAUGCUUUAUUCUUGAUGGAAGAAAAAGCAUCUCGUAGAGAAAAGAAAUUUGGAGCAAGGGAUUGAUCCGCUUGACUCCUUCCACGUGAAGUUCAUGUCACUGAUUAAAAAGAUUAAUGGCUGCUCAAACAACAUAUCAAUGUCUGUUAAUUUGACCACAUUGCCAACAGAAUCUUCCCACUAAGACUUCAGCAUUAUAAAGGUUACAACAACCUUCAUCCAGGUUUAGUUUCAAAGCCCUCAGUACCGGCUCAGUUGGCAAAACAGCUCAUGUCACUCAGAUAGCUUAAAUUCAAAGCUAAUGAUCCCAUAAACAUCUUCAAUCAUUGCACAGCACUGCAUCGUGGUCCUUCGGAUAAACACCUGAGGAACUACUUGGAGGAGCUACUGAUCUUUUCUGAGGUAGAAUUUGUGCUACGCUUGCAGUUCUUGCUCCUCGUGCUUAUUUCAUCAGAUGUUUGUUCUUUCUACAUGAUCCCUUUCUGUAACUCAGUGUCAGGUCCUGGACUGGAAUAUGUUGCUACUGUUUUGCAUAUGAUGUACCUUCUUUGAGGGAAGGGAAGGGUAUAGCAGCUUUCCAGCAUGAUCAUAAGUGACGAUUUCACUUACUGAAUUUUCGGUAUCCACCAGACAUCCGUUGUCCAAGCGUCCCUGCUUACUCUUAUUAGGCAAAAUAUUCUUACUUCUGUGGGAAAAACACAGUCAGGUAACGUUUUUAGACUAAUUCCAUACAGGUUUAAUCUCAGUGCCCUCUGUAUGUAGGCUUUGUUGACACAAUAGCCCAGAUCACUCAGAUAGCUUGAUUUCAAAGCUAAUGAUCCAAUAAACAUCUUCAAUCAUCGCAUAGCACUGCACUUGUGAUCCUUUGGAUAACCAACUGAAGAACUACUCACAAGAGCAACUGGUGUUUUCUGAAGUGAGUUUGCGCUAUGCUUACAGUUCUUUCUCCUUGUGAUUAUUUCAUCAGAUGUUUGUUCUUUCUACAUGAUACCUUUCUACAUCUCACUGUCAGGUCCUGGACUGGAAUAUGCUUCUAGUGUUCUGCGGAUGAUCUACCUUCUUUGAUGGAAAAAGGGGCGUAGCAGCUUUCCAGCAUGAUCAUAAGCGAAGAUUUCGUUUACUGAACUUCCGGCGUCCACAGAUAUACAUUGUCCAACUGUCUCCACUUCUAAAGCCAGAAUUGCUGUCAACUGAUAUAUACCUUUCUUCUGUGGGAAAACCACUGAAAGUCAGGUAGCAUCUUUAGUAUAAUUUCUCAACAUUGUAAUUUGAUUUCAGAAGCAUAAAAUGAAGUCAAUGGUACAGAACAUGAACUAAAGUAGUCGAUUGGGUUUAUUUUCUGAGAUUUAAUUAUUUUUGUUAAGCAAGGGAUGGCCGAUACUGUCCUCUACGAAAUUUCUAGACCAAACAGAAACUAUACAUGAAUAUCUAAAGGUGAACACAUACUAUAUAUUCUAGGGUAAUGAGCAAGUGUAUUGGAGCCACCUUUUUGUGAUGGUGUUCAUAACUUUUUAUUUACCCAACACUGUCUUACUAAAUGGUCCUUCUGCUCAAGUUUUGCUAGUGUCUCACUGUUUUGUGUUCAUUUUUGACCUGUAUACACUUAGAAUAUUUUAACGGAAGAGAGCUGGAAACAUCCAGAUUCCAUGUCCAAAUAUUGAAUAUGUUUGUUGAAGUAAACAUUAUUUUUCAAGCUUCCCUGUAACAGCAAGAUUUUUUUGUCUUUGGGAAUAAAAUCAGUGAAAACUAGUUGAGUAACCAGAUAGCCAAAAAUCAGAAAAUCCAAAGUCUAACCUUUGAGGCUUCAUGACUAUACCCAGGCCACGAGUAGUAAAUAUCAGGAGAUGCUUAGGGUAGUGCUUUUCAUAACUUCAGAAACCAUUGUUAGACAAAUACAUCACAACUUUCACCAAUACUUCAAGUUGAUAACUUUCACUACUUCAGUUUCAACCUUGAUCUGUUUUACGACAUGCUCUGAACGAAUUGUGUUUGACAAAUCAGCAAGAUAAGCUUAUAAUAUGUUCUUUAGCAUGCAUAGAAUCUGUACACUUCGAAUCCCAACAUGCAUGACUUAGUGUGCUGAUGAAAAUAAAUAUCCCCUAAACAAACAACUCAGCAAAGUACCAAACAAAGGAUAAAUAAGGCCUUGUUAAGGCCUACUUAUUGAGGUUGGCUUGGAUAUUGUUCAAGAUUAUAAGAAAUCAUAGUAAAUGCUUGUCUACUUUUCUGCAUCCUUUUGCAAAUUUAAUUCAACUUAUUUCCAAGUGUUUGCCUUCAUGAAUUCCUCAGACAUGAUGCUGCCAAGUGCACUAGCUGGUGCCGUUGCUCAAGAACUUGUGAAAGAUUUGAGUACCGAAAUCCAGGAUCAAAGCAAAUAUGCAAUUCAAUUUCCAGCUCAGUUCUCUGAGUUGAGAGAACAGCUGAAAUUUAUGCAAUCAUUUGUCUCUGAUGCAAGCAAGCUCAAAGACAAGCAAGAAACAGUCAAGAUGACCUUGCAAGAACUUCAGAAACUGAUCUACGAAGCAGAUGAUCUGGUUGUUGAUUGCCAGAUUCGAGAAGACUACACAGAAACAAAGGCUAGUUCUUGCAGCCUUUGUCUUUCUGAGAUGGCCUUUCGCUAUAAAACAGGGAAAAAGCUAACAGAAAUCAACAGCCACAUUAAAAGAAUGCGGGAAAAUUUGAACUCUUAUUACACUCCCAUUGCAAAGCAUUCAGAUAGUGAGAGCAAAAAUGGCAGAAAGACACUUUGGAGUUCCCCCGUUUUUGACCAAUCUGAAGUCGUUGGGCUAACAGAAAAUGUGGCAACAAUAAGGGACUGGAUUCUUGGUCAUAAUGAACCAUUGCUUCGCCUUGCAAUCGUGGGGCUGGGGGGUUUGGGUAAAACGACCCUGGCAAAGAUGACCUAUAGAGAUGUGAAUCUCACGAAACGCUUCCAAGAGAAAAUUUGGGUCUCAGUUUCUCAACCAGUCAAUGAGACCGAAAUCAUGAAAAGCAUGCUGAGGCAACUCAAAUCUGAUGACAGCGGAUCCUCUAAAGGUGACAUGCUGAGUAGAAUCAGUCAAUUGCUUUCAGAAAAAACCUACCUGAUUGUUCUAGAUGAUGUCUGGAGCAUUGAAGAUGGUUGGUGGGAACGGAUCUCCAGUGGGCUACCCAAGACAGAGGGCCUCAACAACUGCAUUAUAAUCACAUCAAGGAUCAAGAAAGUUGUCAAGAAAAUGGGAGUUCAGGAUGCCCAAAUUCAUCGACCCAGACUUCUUAAUGAUGAAGAGAGCUGGAAAUUAUUCUGCAAGGUUGCACUGAUCUCUAAAGAAGAUGAAGAAAAUACUAAGUUAAUUGAAGAAGGAAAAGAGAUUGUUCAAAAGUGUGGGGGCCUUCCCCUGGCAAUCAAGACCAUUGGUGGUUUACUCUCAUCAGAAGCCAAGUGUUAUAGUGAAUGGACGAGGAUUCACAAGAACUUCCAUGAAAAGUUGACAAGUGCAGAAGGCAGUCGUGCUGGUGGUAAUCAGCAUGUGAUUGCCUCUCUGCAGCUUAGCUAUGAUGAGCUCCCUCCUCGCUUAAAGCAAUGCAUAUUGUGCUUCUCGAUUUAUCCAGAAGAUCAUGAAGUUGAUGUUGACCAACUGAUUCGCUGGUGGGAAGGAGAAGGAUUUGUCCGUUGUAGGAGCACAGAAGCUGUGACAGAAUCAGCUCUCAACUGCUUAUCUGAGCUUAUCAAUCGAUGCCUGGUUGAAAUAGCUGAGAGAAGAAAUUUUGAUGGGAGUGUCUAUACCUGCAAGGUGCAUGACAUGGUUCGAGAUUUGACAAUUAAAAUAGCAAGAGAAGAAGAUUUCUGCAGUUUCGAUGAAAAUGGAAAGCAUGUUGCUAAUGCUGGCUCUCGUAGACUUGGAGUCAC